rnacentral:rRNA from 1 species
GCAUCGAUGAAGAACGUACCGAAAUGCGAUACUUGGUGUGAAUUGCAGAAUCCCGUGAACCAUCGAGUCUUUGAACGCAAGUUGCGCCCGAGGCUAUCUGGCCGAGGGCACGCCUGCCUGGGCGUCAUGCCUCACAUC